rnacentral:lncRNA from 1 species
AAGAAAUUGCCAUGGUACUGCAGAUGUGGUGCGUGAUGUUUCCUCCUUCGUAUUGAUUGGGCAGAGAAGGAUAGAAAGGGCAUGUGGAAAGAAUCUUGUGAUGAUUAAUCUCCUAGAAGGUCAAGUGUGGAAAACAUGAGUUAAGUAGUUGGACCAAAGUGGGAGAGUGACAGAAUAGUAUAUGGGUUUAAUGGUAUGAUAAAUGCACACACUAAGGAAAAGUUUAGAGUGAUUUAGAAACUUUAGUGAACGAUGAUUGGGUAUAAGGGAAGCCGAAGGCCGGAUACAAAUCGCUCUAGAUAUCAAAGCCGGUCUUCAUCCUCUCAAGGUUUCUUUUUAUUAUUCUCUCUCUUUCUGUUUUUUUAAUUUGUACUCCUUUCUAUUAAGUAUUCAUCAAGUGCGUGUGGAAUCUAAAUUUAUUUUCUCCUGGACAACUUUGUGAAUUUUUUUGCAGGUAUUUGCUAGUUUGUUCUGCACAUGAGUAGGCAUAUUAUUUUAUUUUUUAUAAUAUAUGAUUUUGCUUUUUAUAAUUCAAUAAACUCUGUACUUUGUGGUUACUUCUUGAAUUUUGGGAGUUGGUUAGGCCAAGUUUAUGUAAAAAUGACUGUUAAUGAAAGUAAAAUUCCUCAAUGGAAUCAUGUUUUCUAUUCCAUUUCUAUUACUGUCUUCGGAUUUAAUUUCUUCCAUAUGAUUAUUUUGACUUUGGGUAAACAGUCACAGAACAGUGAUAGAUUGUAGGAUCCUUGCGUGUGGUCUCUGUAAUUUGUUCUUCUUCUUCAAGUUUUUUGCUGCGUUAAUUUGGAUAUUUGGCUUUGAUAGGUUUCAGUAGAGUUCAGUCCAUAUCAUAUCGAUUUUAAUAAUGACAUGUCCCAAGAUGUUAGACUGGGUAACCUUUUCUUUGAAUUCUAAUUUAGCAUUUGCAAAUUAGCAGAACUUUAGAGUAUAUUUUUAUGGUAACCAAACGAACAACAAAGUAUUGAAGACAAGAAAGUUCUAGAUUCUGCACUGAAUUUCAAUUGGUUACAUUUUCUGAAUCAUCAACGCAACUAUUUGAAAAGCUAAGCUUACGAUUUCUAGAUGCAGGUAUAGAGUAUGAAGUGCUGCUGAAAUUUUGCAUUCUAUUUAUACCUUUCAACUAUUUUGGACCUGAUUUAUACAAUUAGCAUGAAAAAUUUGAAAAGUUGGUAUUGGAUAAUUAUUUUCUGCCUUUUUUGUAAUACAUAACUUAGUUACACUGCUUCUUGAUACGACAUUUCUUUAUUUCUUUUGCUUCAUACAUUCUUAUGGAGAAUAAGUUCCUACCCUGAAUAUGUCACGUAACAUGUCUUAGUAUGUUUGCCGAAGAGCACAACAAACCAAGCCGACAACUACAUACCUUGGUUGACCUUCAAAUC